rnacentral:rRNA from 1 species
UACGAGGGGGGCGAGCGUUGUUCGGAAUUAUUGGGCGUAAAGGGUGCGUAGGCGGUUCCGCAAGUCCUGUGUGAAAUCUUCGGGCUCAACUCGAAGUCUGCACGGGAAACUGCGGGGCUUGAGUGUGGGAGAGGUGAGUGGAAUUCCCCGGUGUAGCGAUGAAAUGCGUAGAUAUCGGGAGGAACACCUGUGGCGAAAGCGGCUCACUGGACCAUAACUGACGCUGAUGCACGAAAGCUGGGGGAGCAAACAGG